UACAAUCACUGCAGACGAGCAGACGUCUGCUUAGCUAUGGCUUGAUGGCCGCGAGAAACGAAGAGUCUCACAUCUCGAAGAAACAAAGACGCUCUCACUGCCACUCUACGAAAUCGGGAAAGCAAGCUGCGUGAUUUUUGCUUCUUAAAAAAAACAACAAAGUUAGGGUUUCUUCUUCUUUUCCCUAGCCGCGCAUAGCUUGACUCUGCAACCCUCCCCAUUACCUGCCUUGAAGAUGGUAGUCUUCCCUUUCUCUGACGAAGACACCUUUCGGUGUAAUUCCCUGAUUCGCUUGGCUCGUCAUCCGCCGCCGCCUCUCUUCCAGUGCCAGUCCUGCGAGUUCAUUGGGUUCCGUUAUUUCAUCUGCUACCGGCGGCAUCAAUGCGACAACCUAGCGGCUCUCGAGGCAUCCUUGUCUUGGUGGUAGCUACUGGAGAGUCCGUGUUCCUUAGGGACUAAAAUGAGCUGCUUUUAAAUUUCUGCUGGCGCACUGUUACGUGACACAAUCCACUACUCCAUCUGCUACUCAUCAUCUGCUGCCGGCGGACCAAGAUCUCUGGAUGAACUGCUUUUGAAGUUAUUUCCCCAAAAUUUAAAGGGCUUUGGUGGUCAAGCACUCUAGCGGCUAAUCAAACACUUCAAGUUUGAAUCCCAACUACGGCAUAUUGCAAGGUAUUCUUCCUCUAAUAGAAUGAUGGUUAAUCAAGAACAUUGAUAAAGGUGAGCAUUUUCCAAUUUACUUUGUGAACAUUUGAUUUUUGAAUACUUGGUAUAAAAUAAAAUGAACAAGAUAACCAAGACAAGUGGCAUUCGGACAUCCUACUACAUGCAUGUGGCGGUGACACUUGUCAGCAUUAAUGAAGGCAGUUAUGUUUGACGAUUGAAUUCUGUAGCCGUGGCGGUGACACCUGUCAUCAUUAGUGAAGGCAACUAUGUAUGACGGUUACUUGAAUUCUGUAGUCGUUGUUGUAAUGCAUUUCGUUUAUAUGAGUCAUGAGCUGUGCAAGGCAUGGACAUUUAGAAGU